CCUACGGGAGGCAGCAGUAGGGAAUCUUCGGCAAUGGGCGAAAGCCUGACCGAGCAACGCCGCGUGAGCGAUGAAGGCCUUCGGGUCGUAAAGCUCUGUUGUUAGAGAAGAACAAGUACGAGAGUAACUGCUCGUACCUUGACGGUACCUAACCAGAAAGCCACGGCUAACUACGUGCCAGCAGCCGCGGUAA
rnacentral:rRNA from 1 species